rnacentral:tRNA from 1 species
GCGAGCGUAGUUCAGUGGUAGAACGUUAGCUUCCCAAGCUAAAUGUCACGGGUUCGAGUCCCGUCGCUCGCU